rnacentral:rRNA from 1 species
UACGUAGGGGGCAAGCGUUGUCCGGAAUUAUUGGGCGUAAAGCGCGCGUAGGCGGCCUAUUAAGUCUGAUGUGAAAGCCCACGGCUCAACCGUGGAGGGCCAUUGGAAACUGGUAGGCUUGAGUGCAGGAGAGGAGAGCGGAAUUCCUGGUGUAGCGGUGAAAUGCGUAGAUAUCAGGAGGAACACCCGUGGCGAAGGCGGCUCUCUGGCCUGUAACUGACGCUGAGGCGCGAAAGCGUGGGGAGCAAACAGG